rnacentral:rRNA from 1 species
UACGGGGGGUGCGAGCGUUGUCCGGAAUCACUGGGCGUAAAGGGCGCGUAGGUGGCCUGAUAAGGGUGUGGUGAAAGUCCGGGGCUCAACCCCGGAUCUGCCGUGCCGACUGUUGGGCUGGAGUACUGUAGGGGCAGGCGGAAUUCCGGGUGUAGCGGUGGAAUGCGUAGAGAUCCGGAAGAACACCGGUGGCGAAGGCGGUCUGCUGGGCCAAGACUGACGCUGAGGCGCGACAGCGUGGGGAGCAAACAGG